rnacentral:rRNA from 1 species
GAUGAACGCUGGCGGCGUGCCUAAUACAUGCAAGUCGAGCGAACAGACGAGGAGCUUGCUCCUCUGACGUUAGCGGCGGACGGGUGAGUAACACGUGGAUAACCUACCUAUAAGACUGGGAUAACUUCGGGAAACCGGAUCUAAUACCGGAUAAUAUAUUGAACCGCAUGGUUCAAUAGUGAAAGACGGUUUUGCUGUCACUUAUAGAUGGAUCCGCGCCGCAUUAGCUAGUUGGUAAGGUAACGGCUUACCAAGGCAACGAUGCGUAGCCGACCUGAGAGGGUGAUCGGCCACACUGGAACUGAGAAACGGUCCAGACUCCUACGGGAGGAAGCAGUAGGGAAUCUUCCGCAAUGGGCGAAAGCCUGACGGAGCAACGCCGCGUGAGUGAUGAAGGUCUUCGGAUCGUAAAACUCUGUUAUUAGGGAAGAACAAAUGUGUAAGUACCUAUGCACGUCUUGACGGUACCUAAUCAGAAAGCCACGGCUAACUACGUG